AUUGAACGCUGGCGGCGUGCUUAACACAUGCAAGUCGAUCGGUAACGCGGGGGCAACCCUGGCGACGAGAGGCGGACGGGUGAGGAACGCUUGGGAAUCUGCCUAUCAGCGGGGGACAACACGGGGAAACUCGUGCUAAUACCGCAUACGCUCUACGGAGGAAAGCCGGGGACCGCAAGGCCUGGCACUGAUAGAUGAGCCCAAGCCGGAUUAGCCAGUUGGCGGGGUAACGGCCCACCAAGGCAAAGAUCCGUAGCUGGUCUGCGAGCGACGAUCAGCCACACUGGAACUGAGACACGGUCCAGACUCCUACGGGAGGCAGCAGUGGGGAAUAUUGGACAAUGGGGGAAACCCUGAUCCAGCGACGCCGCGUGGGUGAAGAAGGCCUGCGGGUUGUAAGGCCCUUUCGGUAGGGACGAAAGCUCUCGACCUAACACGUCGGGAGGUUGACUUAACCUACAAAAGAAGCACCGGCUAACUCUGUGCCAGCAGCCGCCGUAAUAC
rnacentral:rRNA from 1 species